GUAGGGUGGGCAAGCGUUGUCCGGAAUUAUUGGGCGUAAAGCGCGCGCAGGCGGUCCUUUAAGUCUGAUGUGAAAGCCCACGGCUCAACCGUGGAGGGUCAUUGGAAACUGGGGGACUUGAGUACAGAAGGGGAAAGCGGAAUUCCAAGUGUAGCGGUGAAAUGCGUAGAGAUUUGGAGGAACACCAGUGGCGAAGGCGGCUUUCUGGUCUGUAACUGACGCUGAGGCGCGAAAGCGUGGGGAGCAAACAGGAUUAGAUACCCUGGUAGUCCACGCCGUAAACGAUGAGUGCUAAGUGUUAGGGGGUUUCCGCCCCUUAGUGCUGCAGCUAACGCAUUAAGCACUCCGCCUGGGGAGUACGGCCGCAAGGCUG
rnacentral:rRNA from 1 species